GGGUUGUGAGGUUAAGCGACUAAGCGUACACGGUGGAUGCCCUGGCAGUCAGAGGCGAUGAAGGGCGUGCUAAUCUGCGAUAAGCGCCGGUAAGGUGAUAUGAACCGUUAUAACCGGCGAUACCCGAAUGGGGAAACCCAGUGUGAUUCGUCACACUAUCAUUAACUGAAUCCAUAGGUUAAUGAGGCGAACCGGGGGAACUGAAACAUCUAAGUACCCCGAGGAAAAGAAAUCAACCGAGAUUCCCCCAGUAGCGGCGAGCGAACGGGGAGGAGCCCAGAGCCUGAAUCAGCAUGUGUGUUAGUGGAAGCGUCUGGAAAGGCGCGCGAUACAGGGUGACAGCCCCGUACACAAAAGCGCAUGUGCUGUGAGCUCGAUGAGUAGGGCGGGACACGUGGUAUCCUGUCUGAAUAUGGGGGGACCAUCCUCCAAGGCUAAAUACUCCUGACUGACCGAUAGUGAACCAGUACCGUGAGGGAAAGGCGAAAAGAACCCCGGCGAGGGGAGUGAAAAAGAACCUGAAACCGUGUACGUACAAGCAGUGGGAGCACCCUUUGGGGUGUGACUGCGUACCUUUUGUAUAAUGGGUCAGCGACUUAUAUUCUGUAGCAAGGUUAACCGUAUAGGGGAGCCGUAGGGAAACCGAGUCUUAACCGGGCGUUAAGUUGCAGGGUAUAGACCCGAAACCCGGUGAUCUAGCCAUGGGCAGGUUGAAGGUUGGGUAACACUAACUGGAGGACCGAACCGACUAAUGUUGAAAAAUUAGCGGAUGACCUGUGGCUGGGGGUGAAAGGCCAAUCAAACCGGGAGAUAGCUGGUUCUCCCCGAAAGCUAUUUAGGUAGCGCCUCGUGAAUUCAUCUCCGGGGGUAGAGCACUGUUUCGGCUAGGGGGCCAUCCCGGCUUACCAACCCGAUGCAAACUGCGAAUACCGGAGAAUGUUAUCACGGGAGACACACGGCGGGUGCUAACGUCCGUCGUGAAGAGGGAAACAACCCAGACCGCCAGCUAAGGUCCCAAAGUCAUGGUUAAGUGGGAAACGAUGUGGGAAGGCCCAGACAGCCAGGAUGUUGGCUUAGAAGCAGCCAUCAUUUAAAGAAAGCGUAAUAGCUCACUGGUCGAGUCGGCCUGCGCGGAAGAUGUAACGGGGCUAAACCAUGCACCGAAGCUGCGGCAGCGAACGUAUCACUUAAAGCGAUUCAGCGGGUUACGAUUGACGGAGCGAAGCGACGUCAAAGCGUAUACAAAGUCGAGUCGGUUUAAGGAUACGUUCGUUGGGUAGGGGAGCGUUCUGUAAGCCUGUGAAGGUGGCCUGUGAGGGUUGCUGGAGGUAUCAGAAGUGCGAAUGCUGACAUAAGUAACGAUAAAGCGGGUGAAAAGCCCGCUCGCCGGAAGACCAAGGGUUCCUGUCCAACGUUAAUCGGGGCAGGGUGAGUCGACCCCUAAGGCGAGGCCGAAAGGCGUAGUCGAUGGGAAACGGGUUAAUAUUCCCGUACUUGGUGUUACUGCGAAGGGGGGACGGAGAAGGCUAUGUUGGCCGGGCGACGGUUGUCCCGGUUUAAGCGUGUAGGUGUGUGUUCCAGGUAAAUCCGGUUCACUUUAACACUGAGGCGUGAUGACGAGGCACUACGGUGCUGAAGCAACAAAUGCCCUGCUUCCAGGAAAAGCCUCUAAGCAUCAGGUAACAUCAAAUCGUACCCCAAACCGACACAGGUGGUCAGGUAGAGAAUACCAAGGCGCUUGAGAGAACUCGGGUGAAGGAACUAGGCAAAAUGGUGCCGUAACUUCGGGAGAAGGCACGCUGACACGUAGGUGAAGUGAUUUACUCACGGAGCUGAAGUCAGUCGAAGAUACCAGCUGGCUGCAACUGUUUAUUAAAAACACAGCACUGUGCAAACACGAAAGUGGACGUAUACGGUGUGACGCCUGCCCGGUGCCGGAAGGUUAAUUGAUGGGGUCAGCGCAAGCGAAGCUCCUGAUCGAAGCCCCGGUAAACGGCGGCCGUAACUAUAACGGUCCUAAGGUAGCGAAAUUCCUUGUCGGGUAAGUUCCGACCUGCACGAAUGGCGUAAUGAUGGCCAGGCUGUCUCCACCCGAGACUCAGUGAAAUUGAACUCGCUGUGAAGAUGCAGUGUACCCGCGGCAAGACGGAAAGACCCCGUGAACCUUUACUAUAGCUUGACACUGAACAUUGAGCCUUGAUGUGUAGGAUAGGUGGGAGGCUUUGAAGCGUGGACGCCAGUCUGCGUGGAGCCGACCUUGAAAUACCACCCUUUAAUGUUUGAUGUUCUAACGUGGACCCGUAAUCCGGGUUGCGGACAGUGUCUGGUGGGUAGUUUGACUGGGGCGGUCUCCUCCUAAAGAGUAACGGAGGAGCACGAAGGUUGGCUAAUCCUGGUCGGACAUCAGGAGGUUAGUGCAAUGGCAUAAGCCAGCUUGACUGCGAGCGUGACGGCGCGAGCAGGUGCGAAAGCAGGUCAUAGUGAUCCGGUGGUUCUGAAUGGAAGGGCCAUCGCUCAACGGAUAAAAGGUACUCCGGGGAUAACAGGCUGAUACCGCCCAAGAGUUCAUAUCGACGGCGGUGUUUGGCACCUCGAUGUCGGCUCAUCACAUCCUGGGGCUGAAGUAGGUCCCAAGGGUAUGGCUGUUCGCCAUUUAAAGUGGUACGCGAGCUGGGUUUAGAACGUCGUGAGACAGUUCGGUCCCUAUCUGCCGUGGGCGCUGGAGAACUGAGGGGGGCUGCUCCUAGUACGAGAGGACCGGAGUGGACGCAUCACUGGUGUUCGGGUUGUCAUGCCAAUGGCACUGCUCGGUAGCUAAAUGCGGAAGAGAUAAGUGCUGAAAGCAUCUAAGCACGAAACUUGCCCCGAGAUGAGUUCUCCCUGAGACUUUAGGUCUCCUGAAGGAACGUUGAAGACGACGACGUUGAUAGGCCGGGUGUGUAAGCGCAGCGAUGCGUUGAGCUAACCGGUACUAAUGAACCGUGAGGCUUAACCUUACAACGCCGAAG
rnacentral:rRNA from 1 species